GGGAGGAUGGCCGAGUGGUUAAGGCGCUGUGUUUAGGUCAUUCUUCGUUGAAACUUAAAUCCGCAGUGGGAUUUCCCGCGUGGGUUCAAGUCCCACUCCUCUCA
rfam:Exophiala oligosperma strain CBS 72588 unplaced genomic scaffold supercont1.1, whole genome shotgun sequence.